AGAGUUUGAUCCUGGCUCAGAUUGAACGCUGGCGGCGUGCUUAACACAUGCAAGUCGAACGAGGUGCUUGCACCUAGUGGCGAACGGGUGAGUAACACGUGAGCAACCUGCCCCUGGCUCUGGGAUAGCCUCCGGAAACGGGGAUUAAUACCGGACAUGACCUGCUCCUGCAUGGGAGCGGGUGGAAAGUUUUUCGGCCA
rnacentral:rRNA from 1 species